GACGAGCCGAGCGAACGUUGUUCGGAAUCACUGGGCUUAAAGGGCGCGUAGGCGGGUGCUCGAGUCCGUGGUGAAAUCCUCCGGCUCAACCGGAGAACUGCCAUGGAUACUGGGUGUCUCGAGGGUGAUAGGGGUAUGCGGAACUAUCGGUGGAGCGGUGAAAUGCGUUGAUAUCGAUAGGAACUCCGGUGGCGAAGGCGGCAUACUGGAUCACAUCUGACGCUGAGGCGCGAAAGCCAGGGGAGCAAACGGG
rnacentral:rRNA from 1 species